UUCUCUGCAGCCCUUUUGGUGUUCCACGUGCCGAGCGAAUCCGGGGAGAAGGUGACUCAGGGCAUCUCGGCGCUGCUCUCCAUGACUGUCUUCCUCAUGACCAUCAGAGUCCCUGCCGCCCACUGAGAAGACACCGCUCGUCAGCGCCAUUUUCGACCAGGAUUCCAGGGUGAUCCAGAGCGCCUUCCUGCACGCCAUCCAGCACUACAGUCAAAACACCGCGGGCAGGAGGCUUCAGCUUCACGCCUUUGUGGGCAUCAUCAGUAUGGCGGAUGCCUUCAAGACUGAGUGGUAACACGGAGAGCAAGUGGAAGAAACCUUGGGAGACUUCCAUGACUCAGGAACAAGCACACCUCACUGGAAGCCUUGUGACUGACAGGUGGUUCAGACCGACUGGGAGACAUGACGUCAGUGCCACCACGCAGGGAGUAAAACCAAGAGGAGGAAGAGGAGCAUUCAAGAGACAUCAGCUGGCCAGCAGUCCAUUCAGGAGUGCAGCCUCUACAAGUGGUGGAGGGCAUGGACAAUUGGAUAUGGAUGACACUGGUUUGGGUGCCAAAUAUUAAUAGUGCACCUACACAAUUACCACACUCGAUCCUCUCACCAGGCUUAACUAUAAAUAAUUAAAGGUAAAUAACAUCUGUCAUCUAUUAUCUAUUGUAUUAUAUAUUGCUGUUAAUGUUUCAUGUAUAAUGUCUUUGCUUUCAAAUGCAAGUCAAAAGGGUGAGCCCCAUUUAUAGUACUAUUCACGUUUGGCAAAUUUCACUUUUGACAUUGGUUUGGCUACACUAAUUGAGCUGCUAACAGUGAGGGACUACUGUAAAUGUAGUAAUAAUUAUAAUAAUAAUAAUAAUAAUAAUAAUAAUAAUAAUAAUAAUAAUAAUAAUAAUUAAUAAAGUGCAAGACAUGUUCAUUAAUGCAAUUAUUUUCUCCAACAUGGAGGAGUGAGGAGGCACAUCUGUCUGUGAUUAGGGAAUGCAAAUGACGAUGUUCCAAGGACAUCACCCUGUCCUGGGCCAUGACAUGAGAGAGAAGAGGAAAAAAGGACUCUCUCUCUCUCUCUCUCUCUCUCUCUCUCUCUCUCUCUCUCUCUCUCUCUCUCUCUCUCUCUCUCUCUCUCUCUCUCUCUCUCUCUCUCUCUCUCUCUCUCUCUCUCUCUCUCUCUCUCUCUCUCUCUCUCUCUCUCUCUCUCUCUCUCUCUCUCUCUCUCUCUCUCUCUCUCUCUCUCUCAGGUUAGGUUAGGUUAGGUUAGGUUAGUAGAGUUUCCAUAACACCAAACUGCUCUGGUGUUAAUUUCAUGAGUUGCUGAAUAAUAGAAAUGGGAAUGUUAGUUCAAUGCAUUUAGCUCUGAGUAUAAAAGAAUGACAAGAAAGAAUGCAGAGGACACUAGAACACAUGCACAGAAAACUGAAAGAUUUUUAAACUUUGGAAUAGGUGUAGAAAAAAAAAAAAACUGCAAAAUCAGUGUCUCCUUAAAACAACACAUGACAGCAAUGAUAACUUACACAACAAUAAUGCUUGGUGAAGACUAUAUUUCCAACACAGAUUUAUGAGAACAUUUGGCAAAGCUGUGCACUGUUUACUUGUGUUAAAACUAUGCCAUGAUUUGAGAGGAAAGUUGGUUAGUCAUUAUAGGGUUAAGAUGAUAUAAGGGUGUUUAUUUUAGCUAAUUUCCAAUGACUCCUAAUAUAAGAUUAAAACUUUAAUGAUUAAGUAACUAUUUCAUUGUUUACAUUAAUUUACACCAAAAUUUCGCAACUACAACCUCAGGGAUGUUUAGUUAAUCCAAUUUUGUUCACAACUACUACAUUUUUUCCAAUGGUUUACCCAUAGUACAACACAAACAACUACAAUAUCAUUCAUGCUAUUUCAUUCCAAAAAAAAAUUCACAACUAUGUACAUGAUCUAGUUUACAAUAAAAGGAUUUUGAACAAUA